GGGAGGGUGGUGAGUGUGCAAAGGGGUGUGCAAGGGGGAUGAGUGUGCAUGGGGGGGUGCACGUAGGGGUGGCGGUAGUGGUGUGCAGGUGCACGUGGGUGAGUGUGCAAGGGUGGGUGGGUGCACGUGGGCAUGCAUGUGCUCGUGGGUGGGUGUGCACAGGUGUGUGAGUGCACGUGGGUGUGCGCAUGGGUGUGCAUGUGCACCAUGCGGGUGUGUGCACAGGUGUGGGUGUGCAUGUGGGUGAGUGUGCACAGGUGUGGGUGUGCAUGUGGGUGUGCAUGUGCACGUGGGCGAGUGUGCACAGGUGUGGGUGUACACUGGGAAGUGUGUGUGUGCACGGGUAUCUGUGCAUUGGGGAGUGUGUUUGCACAUGGGGGGGUGUGCAGGUCUGUGGAGGGAUGUGGGUGUGCACACAGGUGUGCACACUCAAGUGUGAGCGCACUUCUGCACGGUUGUGCGUGCACGGAGGUGGUUGUGCACGUGGGUGUGCAUUGGGGUGGGUGUGCACGGAUAUGUGUGAGUGCACAUGGGUGUGCACAGAGAUGGGCGUGUGCAUGCAGAGAGAUCUGUGUGGGCACAUGGGUGUGCAUUGGGGUGCACGCACCUGGGUGUGUGCAUGGGAUGUGUGCACACGGGUGGAUGUGCAAGGCUGUGGGUGUGCACUUGAGUGUGAACACAAAUGUGCGUGCACAGGUGACGGUGUGCUACCGCACAUGGCUUCGCAUGCACAGAUGUGUGCGUGUGCACGUGGGUGUGCACACGGGGGUGUGCACCAGUUUGGGUGUGGAUGGGGGCAGACGUGCAAGGGGGUGGGUGUGCACGGAGGUGGGUGUGCACAUGGGUGUGCACGGCGAUGUGAGCACCUGUGUGAGUGUGCAUGUGUGCAAGGAUGUGUGUGCAUGGUUGUGCAUGCAUGUGGGAGUGUGUGCACGUUUGUGCAUGCGUGCUUGGAUAUGUGUGUGCAUGGGAUAUAUGUGCACAGUUGUGUGUGCACAUGGGCGUGCGGGCACGUUUGUGCACGUGUGCAGGGACGUGUGUGCACGUGGGUGUGUGUACAUGGGGUAUGUGUGCAUGGUUGUGCGUGCACGUGGGUGUACGUGCACGUUUGUGCAUGUGUGCUUAGAUGUGUGCGUGUGCAUGGGAUUUGUGCACACUUGUGCGUGCGCAUGGGUGUGCGGGCACAUUUGUGCACGUGUGCAUGGUUGUGCACGUGGGCGUGUGCAUGGAUGUGUGUGUGCACGGCGGUGGUGGGUGCGCGUGCACGGGUGUAGGUGUGCACGGGGGCGUGCACGGGGCCACACGCACUUGGGUUCCCUCGGGUGCGUGUGCACGGGGGUGUGCACGUGGGGUGCGGGUGUAGGUGUGCACUUGGGGGGGGCUGUGUGCACAGACGUGCACGGGGGUGCCCACGUGAGUGUGACAAUGGUGACAAUGGGGGUGUGUGUGUGGGGGGGGGUGCACACUGGGGCCAGUGGUCACCAUGGCGACCGCAUCCCUGGGUUUGGGUGGCAGCGGUCGCCGUGGCAACCGAGAUGCGAC
rnacentral:lncRNA from 1 species